CUUCACACAAACAUUGGGCAUGGCGCUGCCAAGAGUAGCAGCAUGUUUUGCUUCUGAUUUCAUAGGAUCCUGAAGUGAUUGUGCAUGUGGAAUUAUCACCAGAAAUGUCCAGUUUCAAAUAUGUAUGCUCAGCAAAUGGGCCACACAGAUGACAUCACUGCGAAUAAACGGUUUAGUAAAGACAGAUCCGGGAAGAAUGUGCUAAUGGAGAGGUGGUGUGGCAGGCUUAAUAAAU
rnacentral:lncRNA from 14 species